rnacentral:lncRNA from 1 species
AUUACCCCUUCUUUUCUUUCUUUUGGGGAGAUAUUUUUGUAUGAUUAUAGCAAUUAGUGCUUUUGAGUGUACAUAUUUGUAAUGGCAAAAUUGAUAUUUCACUUAUCUGUUGUUAAAAAAUAAAUAGUUCUAUAGCGGUAACAAGCCGAAGGGACAAAUGUGAAUAUUACUAGAAAUAUGAGUUAAAAGUUGAAGUUUGUAGGGAUAUAUUUAUUAUUAGAUAUGUUUACAGAAAGCUGUAUGCAAUUAACCCUAAUUAAUAAUAAUAAUAAAGACUUUAACCACUGUUAUCUUAAAUUAAAAAAAUUAAUUUAAAAUUAAUCGCACUUACAUCUUGUUUUUUU